CACAAAGCCAUAUUUAUAGAGGGGUCCUUUAGAAUCUAAAGGAUUUUAAGUUAGUUGAACUAAAGAAAUGUAUGGAGUGCAAUGUUAGCAGCAAUAGGAGGGUAACAAGCAAUUAUUUAAGAUGAUUAACCAAGAAGUGUCUCAAAAUGGCCACUUUCAAUAUCUUAGGUCAAUAAUAAAAUGAGGGAAAGUAGAUUUAGAUCGUUUAGUCAUGUGUAACGGGGAACGAGAACUGCGCCAGUUGGGACUGAUCUAGUGUAGGUUAAACACUCUAGCAGGUCAAGGAAAUUCUUAAGAGGACAUGGGUGGAUGUAGUAAGAAAAGAAUUAAUGACCUAUGGUCCAACUAAAGACAUAUCCUUGACAGAAUGAAAUGGUUGAACAAGAUUCAUGUAAUCAUCUCCAAUUAGUUGGGAUAAGGCUUAGAUGAUGAUAAUGAACUAGAGCACUGUGAGGAAAUUAUCAAGUCAUGGAGCAUUGUUUUUCCAAGCUGAGACAAUUGAUGCAAUCACACACCAUCAAAACAUACACACUCCACACAUGUGCACAAGAAGAGGCGCAGAUGAGGUUCUACUUAAACACACAAGGCUUCCUUCCCUGUUUCUAAUUAGUGUCUUAUUGCUUUGGAAGCUCUCUUUUUU